UCAGGUCACGGUGAUUUGUUACCGAUGUUAUUAACAAUGUUAUUAUUAAUAGGCCUAGCUAUAGGCUUGUUCACAUCUACCUCCAAUCAUUCUCCUGUCGCUGGCAUGCUCUGUUCCCUUCCCCCGUCAGAGCAGUUUCCAUUUCUUCAAUUCAAGGUACAAAGGUUGGUUGCUUGCUGCCUAGGUGAACCUCUUUUCUUCUUCUCCUUCCUCCUUUUUCUUUUCCCCCCCUCUUUUCCCCCUUUUCCCCCUUCAUGAGGAAGAUUAGCGAUUAGCGCCCUUCCUUGUGCUGCGGUUCCCCGUGAAUUGGAACAAUUGGAACAUUUGGAACAAAACUGGAACAAUUGAAACAAAAAUUGAAACAAUUGAAACAAAAUUGGAACAAAAUUGAAACAAAAUUGGAACAAAUAAGAACGCGCAUGCGUGUUAAGUAGAUCUAGCACGAGAACAGCAGCACUUUUCUCAGUGAACUUCUCAUUCUGUUCUCAAUUCGUUCUGUAAGAUGGCUAGUACCCAUAAAGGUCACUCAGACUCUUAUUGGACGUCGAAGAUGAAGGAAUUAGCUACUGGUAAACCGUUCGGGAGAGGAGAGAGGCCUAUAGGAAAGGCACCAAGUGGGAUCUUGUAUCCAAAGAAGUCGAGAGGUGCCCCAAUCACAGAAACGCUAGCAACGUGGAUGUGCUGGGGAGGGCCAUCCGAUGCACCUGUGGCUAUCACAAGCCAAGGACUUCUCCCCCACCAGUGAGUACUGUAAUUACCAUUCACUUCAAACCUGAAUACAUGUACAGUGCAGUUGUCUGGACAGUGCAGUUGUCUGGCACAACACUAUUAUUGUAUAAUCUACAUUAGCUACAGGUCGCUAGCACGUCAGGUGGGCAGAAGAUACCUAGCUGCAUGUGUGAUACCAGGCCAGGUGACUGGGGGGGCUCCUGCGAAGAAGAGAAAGGGAACACCCGACACACAGUUUGUUCCCAAUUUCAUGGCAGCUUCUCGUCGAAUUGGUUGUUCACCCACCGCACUUCUCCCAGCGACGUCAGCUGCUACUCCCCCUCCUAUACAUGUCCUGAAUAAAUGAAUAAAGGAUGUAGCAUCUCAUAAUAGCUCCACUCUAAUAUCAGUUUGUUCGUUCCACAGUCCUAACAGAGCCUCACAGUCCACCUUUCAGCUGAGACUUACUAGUGGCAGCUAUUGCAUGGCGGACUGUUCAGUAACAUGUACAACAUUGCAAGACACUUGGCAGACCUUGAGGUUAUCAUGUGCACACAGCUUAUAUAUCACCUUGCUGUAAAGUGAGAAGUGAUAGUUUUCCCCCCUGUGUAGACCCCGAAUACUGAAGAGCUGACCAGUGCAGUAACUAGCCUGGUGACUCUCCCUCUCUCCUUUCACACGAGACGGCUCACAGGCAUUAUCUUGGAGCUAUGUCGGGAAAGAAAGAUGACAUCAUGUGAUUUUGGGAGAACUAAAACAGGCAGACUCAGCAUAUAUAAUUAUAUAUAUAAUUAUGCAUAGUUAAUUUUCUAUAAUUAUUAUUAUCAUCAUUGCAGGUCAUUUAUUUGCAUAAUUGAGUCAUGAUUAUUAAUUCAAAUGCC